GAAUAUUGGACAAUGGGCGAAAGCCUGAUCCAGCAAUGCCGCGUGUGUGAAGAAGGCCUGCGGGUUGUAAAGCACUUUAAGUGGGGAAGAACGGGAAUGAGUUAAUACCUCGUUCCUUUGACGUUACCCACAGAAUAAGCACCGGCUAACUCCGUGCCAGCAGCCGCGGUAAUACGGAGGGUGCAAGCGUUAAUCGGAAUUACUGGGCGUAAAGCGCAUGUAGGCGGUUUGAUAAGUCGAAUGUGAAAUCCCUGGGCUUAACCUGGGAAUGGCAUUCGAUACUGUCAGGCUAGAGUAGGAUAGAGGAGGGGGGAAUUCCGCGUGUAGCAGUGAAAUGCGUAGAUAUGCGGAGGAACACCAAUGGCGAAGGCACCUCUCUGGGUCCAUACUGACGCUGAGAUGCGAAAGCGUGGGGAGCAAACAG
rnacentral:rRNA from 1 species